rnacentral:rRNA from 1 species
AACGCGAAGAACCUUACCUGGCCUUGACAUCCAGAGAACUUUCCAGAGAUGGAUUGGUGCCUUCGGGAACUCUGAGACAGGUGCUGCAUGGCCGUCGUCAGCUCGUGUCGUGAGAUGUUGGGUUAAGUCCCGUAACGAGCGCAACCCCUAUCCCUGGUUGCUAGCAGGUAAUGCUGAGAACUCCAGGGAGACUGCCGGUGACAAACCGGAGGAAGGUGGGGAUGACGUCAAGUCCUCAUGGCCCUUACGGGUUGGGCUACACACGUGCUACAAUGGUAACUACAGAGGGCAGCGACUUAGCGAUAAGGAGCCAAUCCCAAAAAGUUAUCUCAGUUCGGAUUGCACUCUGCAACUCGAGUGCAUGAAGUUGGAAUCGCUAGUAAUCGUGGAUCAGCAUGCCACGGUGAAUACGUUCCCGGGUCUUGUACACACCG